rnacentral:rRNA from 1 species
AGGAGCCUGUCCUAUAAUCGACACCCCACGCUAUACCUUACCCCCCCUAGCCAACCAACCUAUAUACCGCCGUCGCCAGCUCACACUGUGAAUGCACCACCGUAAGCACAAUCAUCACCCAUUAAAACGACAGGUCAAGGUGUAGUUAAUGGGGGGGCAGAGAUGGGCUACAUUUUCUUCACUAGAAAAUACCACCCGCACCAUGAAACCUUUGCCCACAGGUGGAUUUAGAAGUAAGCCCUGACAAGACAUGUCAACCUGAAAUACGCCCUGGGACG